rnacentral:rRNA from 1 species
AUUGAACGCUGGCGGCAGGCCUAACACAUGCAAGUCGAACGAGUGGCGGACGGGUGAGUAAUGUCUGGGAAACUGCCCGAUGGAGGGGGAUAACUACUGGACACGGUAGCUAAUACCGCAUACUAUCGGAUGUACCCAUAUGGGAUGAGCUAGUAGGUGGGGGAAAGGCUCACCUAGGCGACGAUGCCUAGCUGGUCUGAGAGGAUGAACAGCCAGACGGGGACGGCGACACGGUCCAGAAGCCUACGGGAGGCAGAAUUGGGGAAUAUUGCAGAAUGGGCGCAAGCCUGAUGCAGCCAUGCCGCGUGAAUGAAGAAGGCCUUCGGGUUGUAAAGUACUUUCAGCGGGGAGGCGUUACCCGCAGAAGAAGCACCGGCUAACUCCGGGCCAGCCGCCGCGGUAAUAC